rnacentral:rRNA from 1 species
UACGAAGGGGGGCUAGCGUUGUUCGGAAUUACUGGGCGUAAAGCGCACGUAGGCGGAUAUUUAAGUCAGGGGUGAAAUCCCGCAGCUCAACUGCGGAACUGCCUUUGAUACUGGGUAUCUUGAGUAUGGAAGAGGUUAGUGGAAUUGCGAGUGUAGAGGUGAAAUUCGUAGAUAUUCGCAGGAACACCAGUGGCGAAGGCGGCUAACUGGUCCAUAACUGACGCUGAGGUGCGAAAGCGUGGGGAGCAAACAGG